UCUAUGUCUGUGAUUGGGAGAGUAAUCUAGGAAGCCUAUCUCCAGAGAGCCGGGUCAGGUGAAAGCCGGUAUAGGAAUAGUAGAUGAACAUGGUCCAUGAGACUUCCCUUCUGAACACGAGUCGAAUGACUGGUUUAAGUAGGAGGGGACGCACACCAGCGAUAACGGGUUGACCAGAGCGUAUCUGAAUCGGUAAAAGGUUCUAUACGAAAAUUGGGUGGUACCGCGUGAUUCCAAUCUCGCCCCAAAA
rnacentral:ncRNA from 1 species